rnacentral:misc_RNA from 1 species
UGGUUGGGAUACAUUUCGCCGGCUGCCUGUAGUGGGUGUUCGGUGGUGCAGAGUAAUUUACGAACAGCAACAGCUUUGAUCACCAACCGGCAUGACCUCUUUGGAGGUGGUGUCGGCCGGCCCUUUGGGUUGGGCACACUGUUGGGUCCUGAGGCAACAGGCCUGUUUUCGCCCCUGUGUGGGGUGGGUGUGUUGUCGCUCCAUCUUGGUGGUGGGGUGUGGUGUUUGUUUUGUGAAUAGUGGUU